GAUGAACGCUAGCGGGAGGCUUAACACAUGCAAGUCGAGGGGGCAGCACGGGUAGCAAUACUUGGUGGCGACCGGCAGACGGGUGAGUAACGCGUAUGUAACCUACCCCAUACAGAGGGAUAACUCGAAGAAAUUCGGACUAAUAUCUCAUAAGACCACACGAGGACAUCCGAGAGUGGUUAAAGUUCCGGCGGUAUGGGCUGGGCAUGCGUAACAUUAGCUAGUUGGUAAGGUAACGGCUUACCAAGGCUUCGAUGUUUAGGGGUCCUGAGAGGGUGGUCCCCCACACUGGUACUGAGACACGGACCAGACUCCUACGGGAGGCAGCAGUGAGGAAUAUUGGUCAAUGGGCGCAAGCCUGAACCAGCCAUCCCCGCGUGCAGGAAGACGGCCCUAUGGGUUGUAAACUGCUUUUCCAGGGGGCGAAUAGCUCUUACGUGUAAGGGUAUGACUGUACCUUGGGAAUAAGCAUCGGCUAACUCCGUG
rnacentral:rRNA from 1 species